AUUUUUUGAAAUUAUGAGAAGCUGAUCUGAGAUAUAGAGUGGAUCUAGGAGCUCUCUCUUCUUCUUAAUCUUUCCCACUGGGUCAGUUUUCAGUUUCAGCAGCAUACUGGCAAUAUCUACAUCUUCUGGAGAGUGGACAGUAUUUUCGAGAUUACUAUCCCUCAUUGGACUUAUUUUUCUUUUUUUUCACUGGCUGUAUGUCCACCUUCAUUUGGAUUUUGAGAGAUUUAACUGGGCUUGCAAGUGAAUGGAUGGGCUUUGUUGAAUUAAAGAUGAAGGAAUAGAGAUGGGCGCGAUGGGCUUCAGGUUGACUUUCCUUUUUUGCAUGGCUGGAUUGUUGUCCCCCGAGUGUACAAGCUACUGCCGCAUGUUGAAGUAGCCGGGAUUGAUGUCUUGCACAGUGGAAGUGAGGGGAGCAGCGAAUCCAGGUUGGUUUGAGCAGGGAUGGAUCGCAGCUGCUGGGUUAACGGGUUGAGAGUGCGAAACCAGGUUGAGCAUUCGGGGGUGGACAUCGGCUAUUGGGAUUACGGGUUGGAGAUACGAACCCGUUGUGAGGUUGCGGGCAGCAACUUGAUUGGAUUCGGGUUGAUGAGAUGCACCCGAUUUGCCGUGAGCUAUGGGAGAUUUGUUCGCCGGCGUGUGCUGAGGAGGAAGUCCGCUCUAAAUUUGUUGAGGAUGGAGCCAACCCACAUGAAUCGGGUUUUUCAUCGGAGCAAAGAGUGCAAGUAGAGGAUCCGAAUGGUCCUCAAUAGUUCUUGCUUUUUGGGAGACACCACACUACUAUUAUUUGACACAAUCAAAUCUGCUCAUUCUCAAGAUUUUAAAUUUUACAAAAUCAGUCACAGAAUCAUCACCAUAAUUUUAGGAAUAGUCAUUGAUUUGUAAAUAUUAAU